rnacentral:rRNA from 1 species
ACUCAAAUGAAUAGACGGGGACCCGCACAAGCAGCGGAGCAUGUGGUUUAAUUCGAAGAUACGCGAAAAACCUUACCAGGACUUGACAUCCUUUGCAUAGCCAUGAAAGUGGUCAAAGUAUAGCAAUAUUCCAAAGUGACAGAUGGUGCAUGGUUGUCGUCAGCUCGUGUCGUGAGAUGUUCGGUUAAGUCCGUCAACGAGCGCAACCCCUGCUUUUAGUUGCCAGCAUUAAGUUGGGCACUCUAGAGGGACUGCCGUGGUUAACACGGAGGAAGGUGGGGAUGACGUCAAAUCAUCAUGCCUCUUACGUUCUGGGCUACACACGUGCUACAAUGGUAACUACAAAGAGUUUCGAAGUGGCGACACGGAGGCAAUCUCAAAAAAGUUAUCUCAAUUCGGAUUGUAGGCUGAAACUCGCCUACAUGAAGUCGGAGUUGCUAGUAAUCCCGAAUCAGAACGUCGGGGUGAAUGCGUUCCCGGGUCUUGUACACACCGCCCGU